rnacentral:rRNA from 1 species
AACGAACGCUGGCGGCAUGCCUAACACAUGCAAGUCGAACGAGACCUUCGGGUCUAGUGGCGAACGGGUGCGUAACGCGUGGGAACCUGCCCUUAGGUUCGGAAUAACUCCCCGAAAGGGGUGCUAAUACCGGAUAAUGUCUUCGGACCAAAGAUUUAUCGCCUUUGGAUGGGCCCGCGUUGGAUUAGCUAGUUGGUAGGGUAAAAGGCUACCAAGGCGACGAUCCAUAGCUGGUCUGAGAGGAUGAUCAGCCACACUGGGACUGAGACACGGCCCAGACUCCUACGGGAGGCAGCAGUGGGGAAUAUCGGACAAUGGGCGAAAGCCUGAUCCAGCAAGGCCGCGUGAGUGAUGAAGGCCUUAGGGUUGUAAAGCUCUUUUACCCGGGAUGAUAAUGACAGUACCGGGAGAAUAAGCUCCGGCUAACUCCGUG